CCAUCAGACUUGAUUGCUAAACGGGCCUAUCAAGAAAGUUGGCAAUAAAAAACCGUUACUAGUUGGGACUACGUUCGUGUGUUAAAUACAACAAGGGAAUACGCAGGAAAUUCAGCAAGUUAGCUCGGGGAUAUUUUUACUGAUGAGAAGCUCAAAAACAUGAUGAACUACAUUGGUCCACGAACGUCCUUAAGCCAGGAAAUAAAGUCGAAUGCCGAUUAUCGUCCACAUAGCACGAAAGAAAACAAUGAAAUUAGAGAUUACUGAUUGUAUGAUACGCUCAGUAAUGAGUUAAAUAGAACGAUGAGUCUACUUA